AAAGUCGUAACAAGGUUUCCGUAGGUGAACCUGCGGAAGGAUCAUUAACAGAGUUAUGCCCCUUUAUUUAGGGGAGACCUCCAACCCUAUGUUUUUAACUUUGUUGCUUUGGCGGGUCGUAAACAGCUUUUUUAAUGGCUUUUUUCCCCACUGGCUUUAGGCUAGUGGUGUACCUGCCAGAGGAUACCAAAAACUCCGAGUUAUUUAGUGUUGUCCGAGUUACUAUUUACAAUAGUUAAAACUUUCAACAACGGAUCUCUUGGUUCUG
rnacentral:misc_RNA from 1 species